rnacentral:rRNA from 1 species
GAUGAACGCUGGCGGCGUGCCUAAUACAUGCAAGUCGAGCGAACGGACGAGAAGCUUGCUUUUCUGAUGUUAGCGGCGGACGGGUGAGUAACACGUGGAUAACCUACCUAUAAGACUGGGAUAACUUCGGGAAACCGGAGCUAAUACCGGAUAAUAUUUUGAACCGCAUGGUUCAAAAGUGAAAGACGGUCUUGCUGUCACUUAUAGAUGGAUCCGCGCUGCAUUAGCUAGUUGGUAAGGUAACGGCUUACCAAGGCAACGAUGCAUAGCCGACCUGAGAGGGGGAUCGGCCACCCUGGAACUGAGACACGGUCCAGACUCCUACGGGAGGCAGCAGUAGGGAAUCUUCCGCAAUGGGCGAAAGCCUGACGGAGCAACGCCGCGUGAGUGAUGACGGUCUUCGGAUCGUAAAACUCUGUUAUUAGGGAAGAACAUAUGUGUAAGUAACUGUGCACAUCUUGACGGUACCUAAUCAGAAAGCCACGGCUAACUACGUG